GACGACGGGUAGCCGGCCUGAGAGGGCGACCGGCCACACUGGGACUGAGACACGGCCCAGACUCCUACGGGAGGCAGCAGUGGGGAAUAUUGCACAAUGGGCGGAAGCCUGAUGCAGCGACGCCGCGUGAGGGAUGACGGCCUUCGGGUUGUAAACCUCUUUCAGCAGGGACGAAGCGCAAGUGACGGUACCUGCAGAAGAAGCGCCGGCCAACUACGUGCCAGCAGCCGCGGUAAGACGUAGGGCGCGAGCGUUGUCCGGAUUUAUUGGGCGUAAAGAGCUCGUAGGCGGCUUGUCGCGUCGACUGUGAAAUCUCAGGGCUCAACUCUGACAUUGCAGUCGAUACGGGCAGGCUAGAGUUCGGUAGGGGAGACUGGAAUUCCUGGUGUAGCGGUGAAAUGCGCAGAUAUCAGGAGGAACACCGAUGGCGAAGGCAGGUCUCUGGGCCGAUACUGACGCUGAGGAGCGAAAGCGUGGGGAGCGAACAGGAUUAGAUACCCUGGUAGUCCACGCUGUAAACGUUGGGCGCUAGGUGUGGGGACCCUCUCCGGGUUUCUGCGCCGCAGCUAACGCAUUAAGCGCCCCGCCUGGGG
rnacentral:rRNA from 1 species